rnacentral:rRNA from 1 species
UCCAGUUGAUCCUGCUGGAGACUACCGCUACUGGAUUUCGACUAAGCCAUGCACGUCUUGGGUCCCGAGCAUCGGGGCCCGGCACACAGCUCAGUAACACGUGGACAACCUACCCUUUGGAGGGGGAUAACCUCGGGAAACUGAGGUUAAUACCCCAUAGGUGACGAGUUCUGGAAUGACCGUCAUUGAAAUGCGCUGGCUUGUUCUAGCCGGUUGCGCCGACGGAUGGGUCUGCGGCGGAUUAGGCUGAUGUUAGGGUAACGGCCUAACAUACCUACAAUCUGUAUCGGCUAUGAGAGUAGGAGCCGGGAGAUGGACACUGAGACAAAGGUCCAGGCUCUACGGAGCGCAGCAGGCGCGAAAACUCUGCAAUGCGCGAAAGCGUGACAGGGGGAAUCCAAGUGUACUUGUACAACAGGUACUUUUGAGGGAUGUAAAAAGUCCCUAGAAUAAGGGGUGGGCAAGACUAGUGCCAGCCUCCGCGGUAACACUAGCAUCCUCGAGUGGUAGUCGCGAUUAUUUGGCUUAAAGCGUCCGUAGUCGGGCCGCUUAGUCUUCUGUGAAAUCCUGCGGCUUAACCGUAGGGCUUGCAGAGGAUACUGGCGGUCUUGGAGCCGGGAGAGGUUGGGGGUAUUCCUGGGGUAGCGGCGAAAUGCUAUAAUCCUGGGAGGACCACCGAUAGCGAAGGCACCCAACUAGAACGGGCUCGACGAUGAGGGACGAGAGCUAGGGGAGCAAACCGGAUUAGAUACCCGGGUAGUCCUAGCCGUAAACGAUGCAGGCUGAGUGUCUCCUGAACCUCGAGUUCAGGAGGUGCUGAAGGGAAACCGUUAAGCCUGCCGCCUGGGGAGUACGGUCGCAAGGCUGAAACUUAAAGGAAUUGGCGGGGGAGCACCACAAGGGGUGGAGUCUGCGGUUCAAUCGGAUACAACGCCGAGAAACUUACCAGGGGUGACGGCAGUAUGACAGCCAAGCUAAUGACUUUGCUCGACGAGCCGAGAGGUAGUGCAUGGCCGUCGUCAGCUCGUACCGUGAGGCGUGCGGUUAAGUCCGUUAACGAGCGAGACCCGUACCUUUAUUUGCAAUCUACUCCGCGAGGGGUGGAGCACUAUAAAGGGACCGCUGGCGAUGAGUCAGAGGAAGGCGCGGUCGACGAUAGGUCUGUAUGCUCCGAAUCUCCUGGGCUACACGUGGACUACAAUGGCAUGGACAAUUGGAUGCGACGCCGUAAGGUGUAAGCCAAUCCCCUAAACCAUGUCUCAGUUCGGAUCGAGGGUUGUAACUCACCCUCGUGAAGGUGAAAUCCCUAGUAAUCGCUAGUCAUCAUCUAGCGGUGAAUAUGUCCCUGCUCCUUGCACACACCGCCCGUCAAACCAACCGAGUGAAUCAGGGACGAGGCUUUCUCAUUCGGGAAAGUCAAGUUCCAGGCUCGCGAGGGGGGUUAAGUCGUAACAAGGUA